rnacentral:rRNA from 1 species
AUUGAACGCUGGCGGCAUGCUUUACACAUGCAAGUCGAACGGCAGCACGGACUUCGGUCUGGUGGCGAGUGGCGAACGGGUGAGUAAUACAUCGGAACGUGCCCAGUUGUGGGGGAUAACUACUCGAAAGAGUAGCUAAUACCGCAUGAGAACUGAGGUUGAAAGCAGGGGGUCGUAAGACCUUGCGCAGCUGGAGCGGCCGAUGGCAGAUUAGGUAGUUGGUGGGAUAAAAGCUUACCAAGCCGACGAUCUGUAGCUGGUCUGAGAGGACGACCAGCCACACUGGGACUGAGACACGGCCCAGACUCCUACGGGAGUCAGCAGUGGGGAAUGUUGGACAAUGGGCGAAAGCCUGAUCCAGCAAUGCCGCGUGCAGGAUGAAGGCCUUCGGGUUGUAAACUGCUUUUGUACGGAACGAAAAGCUUCGGGUUAAUACCCUGGAGUCAUGACGGUACCGUAAGAAUAAGCACCGGCUAACUACGUGCCAGCCGCCGCGGUAA